GGGGGGGGGGUGACAUUAGAUAAUAUUUCUCAUUCUUGAUGUGAUGUCUUAGUCCAGCUAGAUGUGGGUCGAUAAAUUAUACACACUGACUCGGAAGCUUCAUAUGUCUUGAGUUGGUGUUCGGAGCGCAGGAGGCCGUCAUGAGUUCAGAAGCCGCCAUAUUUAGUCACCAGGCGGAGGGAGGAGGAGGACGUGAUGGCUGCGCUCCUCACUGUUUUCUUUAGUUUGUGCCUUUAUUUGCUUCCCACGUGGUUUGUGUCAUCAGGAAGGAGAUCAAGGCACUGCAGACCUACCUGAGCGUCUCACCUGUGUGUCUUGUCGCGUAGCACACGAUGACUCGUGGCUGCAGUGCGUCGUGAUGAAGCUGCCAGCGAUACAAGAAAAGGCACGCGUUCCCAGUGUGGUCAUUAGCUCCCGUUGAUCCCUCGUGCAGCUGGCGCAGGUGAGGCGGAGGUCAACUUUUCAAUGUGACCUUUGCCCCUUGGAGACAUAUCAGGUCAGCUUGCCUUGUGUGACCUGUUUUGUGGCCGUCAGUACCAGGUGGGCCAAGACAAGGAUUGGAAUGCGACUCGGGUUAAUGGUUGUGUCAACAGUGUUUGUCCAGCAUUCACAUCACAGCAGAACCAUGAAUCCAGACACAUCUGCUGUGGCUACAUCCUGAACAUCGUUUUACAGGAUCUUUCAUGAAGGAAAUUGGUUAAACUGCAAGAGGAUCACUGUAGCCAGCCACCCAUUUAUGCUGUCCUUGCAUCCCCUCCUCUAAUAAG